rnacentral:lncRNA from 1 species
UAGUUAGCUGUUCUUGUUGAUUUGUGGUGGAGAGUUCUGUAGAUGUCUAUUAGGUCCACUUGGUGCAGAGCUGAGUUCAAUUCCUGGGUAUGGGUAUCCUUGUUGACUUUCUGUCUUGUUGAUCUGUCUAAUGUUGACAGUGAGGUGUUAAAGUCUCCCAUUAUUAAUGUGUGGGAGUCUAAGUCUCUUUGUAGGUCACUCAGGACUUGCUUUAUGAAUCUCGGUGCUCCUGUAUUGGAUGCAUAUAUAUUUAGGAUAGUUAGCUGUUCUUGUUGAAUUGAUCUCUUUACCAUUAUGUGAUGGCCUUCUUUGUCUCUUUUGAUCUUUGUUGGUUUAAAGUCUGUUUUAUCAGAGACUAGGAUUGCAACCCCUGCCUUUUUUUGUUUUCCAUUUGCUUGGUAGAUCUUCCUCCAUCCUUCUAUUUUGAGCCUAUGUGUGUCUCUGCAUGUGAGAUGGGUUUCCUGAAUACAGCACCCUGAUGGGUCUUGACUCUUUAUCCAAUUUGCCAGUCUGUGUCUUUUAAUUGGAGCAUUUAGUCCAUUUCCAUUUAAAGUUAAUAUUGUUAUGUGUGAAUUUGAUCCUGUCAUUAUGAUGUUAGUUGGUUAUUUUGCUCGUUAGUUGAUGCAGUUUCUUCCUAGUCUCGAUGGUCUUUACAUUUUGGCAUGAUUUUGCAGUGGCUGGUACCGGUUGUUCCUUUCCAUGUUUAGUGCUUCCUUCAGGAGCUCUUGCAAGGCAGACCUGGUGGUGACAAAAUCUCUCAGCAUUUGCUUGUCUGUAAAGGAUUUUAUUUCUCCUUCACUUUUGAAGCUUAGUUUGGCUGGAUAUGAAAUUCUGGGUUGAAAAUUCUUUUCUUUAAGAAUGUUGAAUAUUGGCCCCCAUUCUCUUCUGGCUUCUAGGGUUUCUGCAGAGAGAUCCACUGUUAGUCUGAUGGGCUUCCCUUUGAGGGUAACCCGACCUUUCUCUCUGGCUGCCCUUAACAUUUUUUCCUUCAUUUCAACUUCGGUGAAUCUGACAAUUAUGUGUCUUGGAGUUGCUGUUCUCGAGGAGUAUCUUUGUGGCAUUCUCUGUAUUUCCUGAAUCUGAGUGUUGGCCUGCCUUGCUAGAUUGGGGAAAUUCUCCUGGAUAAUAUCCUGCAGAGUGUUUUCCAACUUGGUUCCAUUCUCCCCAUCACUUUCAGGUAUGCCAGUCAGACGUAGAUUUGGUCUUUUCACAUAGUCCCAUAUUUCUUGGAGGCUUAGCUCAUUUAUUUUUAUUCUUUUUUCUCUAAACUUCCCUUCUCGCUUCAUUUCAUUCAUUUCAUCUUCCAUCACUGAUACC